rnacentral:rRNA from 1 species
GGCCAGCAGCCGCGGUAAUACGUAGGGGGCGAGCGUUGUCCGAAUUCACUGGGCGUAAAGCGCGCGUAGGCGGGUUAUUAAGUUGAUGGUGAAAUCCCGGGGCUCAACCUCGGAACUGCCUUCAAAACUGGUAGCCUUGAGGUUUGGAGAGGGAACUGGAAUUCCUGGUGUAGCGGUGAAAUGCGUAGAUAUCAGGAGGAACACCCAUGGCGAAGGCAGGUUCCUGGCCAUAUCCUGACGCUGAGGUGCGAAAGCUAGGGUAGCGAACGGGAUUAGAUACCCCGGUAGUCCUAGCCGUAAACGAUGGAUACUAGGUGUUAGAGGUAUCGACCCCUCUAGUGCCGAAGCUAACGCAUUAAGUAUCCCGCCUGGGGAGUACGACCGCAAGGUUGAAACUUAAAGGAAUUGGCGGGGGAU